rnacentral:rRNA from 1 species
GAUGAACGCUGGCGGCGUGCCUAAUACAUGCAAGUCGAGCGAACAGAUGAGGAGCUUGCUCCUCUGACGUUAGCGGCGGACGGGUGAGUAACACGUGGAUAACCUACCUAUAAGACUGGGAUAACUUCGGGAAACCGGAGCUAAUACCGGAUAAUAUAUUGAACCGCAUGGUUCAAUAGUGAAAGACGGUUUUGCUGUCACUUAUAGAUGGAUCCGCGCCGCAUUAGCUAGUUGGUAAGGUAACGGCUUACCAAGGCAACGAUGCGUAGCCGACCUGAGAGGGUGAUCGGCCACUCUGGAACUGAGACACGGUCCAGACUCCUACGGGAGGCAGCAGUAGGGAAUCUUCCGCAAUGGGCGGAAGCCUGACGGAGCAACGCCGCGUGAGUGAUGAAGGUCUUCGGAUCGUAAAACUCUGUUAUUAGGGAAGAACAAAUGUGUAAGUAACUAUGCACGUCUUGACGGUACCUAAUCAGAAAGCCACGGCUAACUACGUG